AACGUACGCUGGCGGCACGCCUAACACAUGCAAGUCGAACGAAGUAGCAAUACUUAGUGGCAGACGGGUGAGUAACAUGUAGGUAUCUGCCCUUUGGCCUGGAAUAACACGAGGAAACUUGUGCUAAUACCGGAUAAGUCUUUACGGAGAAAGCUUUAUGCACCAUUGGAUGAGCCUGCACUUGAUUAGUUUGUUGGUGGGGUAAUGGCCUACCAAGACUGUGAUCAAUAGCUGAUUUGAGAGGAUGAUCAGCCACAUUGGGACUGAGACACGGCCCAAACUCCUACGGGAGGCAGCAGUGGGGAAUCUUGCACAAUGGAGGAAACUCUGAUGCAGCGAUGCCGCGUGAGUGAAGAAGGCCUUUGGGUUGUAAAGCUCUUUCGUCGGGGAAGAAAAUGACUGUACCCGAAUAAGAAGGUCCGGCUAACUUCGUGCCAGCAGCCGCGGUAAUACGAAGGGACCUAGCGUAGUUCGGAAUUACUGGGCUUAAAGAGUUCGUAGGUGGUUGAAAAAGUUGGUGGUGAAAUCCCAGAGCUUAACUCUGGAACUGCCAUCAAAACUUUUCAGCUAGAGUAUGAUAGAGGAAAGCAGAAUUUCUAGUGUAGAGGUGAAAUUCGUAGAUAUUAGAAAGAAUACCAAUUGCGAAGGCAGCUUUCUGGAUCAUUACUGACACUGAGGAACGAAAGCAUGGGUAGCGAAGAGGAUUAGAUACCCUCGUAGUCCAUGCCGUAAACGAUGUGUGUUAGACGUUGGAAAUUUAUUUUCAGUGUCGCAGCGAAAGCGAUAAACACACCGCCUGGGGAGUACGACCGCAAGGUUAAAACUCAAAUGAAUUGACGGGGACCCGCACAAGUAGUGGAGCAUGUGGUUUAAUUCGAAGAUACGCGCAGAACCUUACCAACACUUGACAUGUUCGUCGCGACUCUGAGAGAUUAGAGUUUUCGGUUCGGCCGGACGAAACACAGGUGCUGCAUGGCUGUCGUCAGCUCGUGUCGUGAGAUGUUGGGUUAAGUCCCGCAACGAGCGCAACCCUCACUUUUAGUUGCCAUCAUUAAGUUGGGCACUCUGAAAGAACUGCCAGUGAUAAGCUGGAGGAAGGUGGGGAUGACGUCAAGUCCUCAUGGCCCUUACGUGUUGGGCUACACACGUGCUACAAUGGUAUCUACAACAGGAAGCAAGACUGCGAGGUCAAGCAAAUCCUUAAAAGAUACCUUAGUUCGGAUUGCACUCUGCAACUCGAGUGCAUGAAGCUGGAAUUACUAGUAAUCGUGGAUCAGCGUGCCACGGUGAAUGCGUUCCCGGGUCU
rnacentral:rRNA from 1 species